GAGUUUGAUCAUGGCUCAGGAUGAAUGCUGGCGGCGUGCCUAACACAUGCAAGUCGAGCGGCAGCGCGAGUAGUUUACUACUUGGCGGCGAGCGGCGGACGGCUGAGUAACGCGUGGGAAUUUGCCCCAAAGUGAGGGAUAACUGCCCGAAAGGGUAGCUAAUACCGCAUAUGGUCUUCGGAUUAAAGGAUUUAUCCGCUUUGGGAGAAGCCCGCGUUGGAUUAGGUUGUUGGUAGGGUAAUGGCCUACCAAGCCGACGAUCCAUAGCUGGUCUGAGAGGAUGAUCAGCCAGACUGGAACUGAGACACGGUCCAGACUCCUACGGGAGGCAGCAGUGAGGAAUCUUCCACAAUGGGCGAAAGCCUGAUGGAGCAACGCCGCGUGAAGGAUGAAGGCCUUCGGGUUGUAAACUUCUUUUAUGAGUGAAGAAUAUGACCGUACUCA
rnacentral:rRNA from 1 species